rnacentral:lncRNA from 1 species
GGACUGGCGUUGGCGGGGCCUUCCAGAGACUGCGUAACACGGCUCAGUAACCCACACGCCGGCCAUGGCAGAACCCCCUGAAAACACGUUUCCAGGGCCUGCCCCGACGUGGCCUCUGUCUUCAAACCUCUCCAGUGUGACUCUUCAACUCCCUUCACAGUCGGGUGUUUUUGUGGUCAGGGGUGACUGUGGACUUGCGACUUGCGUGUCUAGUUUCUCAUGAUGAUCCACUGGGCUGGCAGCCUCUGACAGGGAACACUCAGCACCGUGUCAUUUCCCUUUAGGUGACUUGUGGAUCCCUGGCAAGGGUACAGGCAGGCGGAUCAGGGCCAGCGCUCUAAGGACAGCAGCACAGGGCAGAGGUGGAGAGGCGCCCAUCGAGAACGGCUUCUCUUGCCCAGGUCCUGUUGCUCGCCAUGGUAACCAGCCAGAUGUGGAACCCCAGCAGAAGGUGGCGAUGACAUCAUUCUUGGGCUUCUGAUUGACUGCGGCGGUUCUUUCACCAGAGGAUCUGACAGGUGGCCUCACUCACCACCUGCAUCCGGAGGAAAGGAAUUCCACUCCUGUUGAGGGUACUAGACCAGGCCCCAGGACCCACCUGCAGAGGACUCACCCCCAGGCUGGAGUGGAGGCCAUAGACAAUGAGCUGGAUCCCUGCCCUGCAUUUUGCUUCUGGUGUGGCUGUGGUGCUUGGCGGGAGAGGCUGCCUCCUGGCUGAGGCUUGGAUCUGCAAGGCCGGGGCACUGGCUGGGCCUGGCCAAGCGCCCCCACAGCUGCCUGGAAGUAAGGGGUCCUCGGGACAGACACAGAGCCCAGCACACCCCAUCCUGGAACACGGGGGAGACUUCCUCGCAGCCAGAGCAGUGGGAUCAGGGGAGAUGAACCCGGUAGUCUCCGAGGUCCUUCCAGCCCUGAUAUCAGGAGACGAGAAGCUUCGCCGUGUGAACAGCAAACAGCCUGUUGUCUGGGUUCCUCUGGCCUGCUCCGUCACGGGGAGGCUCCCCAUAAGAUGCUGCGUCCUCUGAGACGGAAACCCUCGGAGCCUCGGCCUGUUGAUUUGGAAGUGGUCCCAGGGCCAUGGGGCAACAGGAGAGCACCCCUGGGGCUCCUUGGGCAGGAGACACAGGGAAACUACAGGAGGGAAAAAGGAAAGAUGGAAGCCACACCAAGGAGGAGAGAGAAGCUUUCGAUGAUGAACCAAGAACGUCAUAGAGUUGGAAUCCUACAGUAUGUAGCCUUUUCAGAUCGGCCUUGUUCACUUGGUAAUAUGCAUUGCUGGGAAAGCUGUACGAGGUCUGGAGCGCGGGGCAUCCCGGGAUCAGCUCCCUGCUGCCACAACCCCACUGGUGUUAUUAGUAUCCUCAUCAGAAUGACGUCUUUUCCAGCAGCUUGUUUCUAGCACGUUUCUGAGUUUCUACAGCCCGUCCAGAUCUAGGCCCCUGGUCACAUCCCAGAGCCACCCCCACCACAGACACAAGGCCCCUCAGUGCCAGGCCCCCUUGGUGGAUCUCAAAUGGUUUUGCAUAAGCCCCACCCCACAUAAGGCAGCAGAAGCAGGCUCUUACCCUAUUCGGCAGAUGGGCAGGCUGUGGCUCAGAGAAGCUGAGUGGCUGGCAUAAAAUGGCACAGGAUCUCCUCUACAACCACCUACAACCACCCUCCAUACAGCAAGCCCCUCAGCUUCCCUUUCCACCCAAAGGUCUGGCUCCCACUCUUGGAUGAAGAGAAGGAGCGUCUGAACCCAAAAUUCCUUACAGCACAAUAGACAACUGAAAAACAACUCAACAGAAUUUUAAUUAUUCACAGAAAACGUGUACUGUGUACAAGGUAUUGAUCAAAGAACUUUAUAAAUACUAACUCAUUUUCUCCUUAUAACUACCUUAAUGAAGCAGGUACAAUUAUUAUCCCCAUUUUAUAGGUGAGGAAACUGAGGCAGGGAGAGAGUAACUGGCCCAGGGCCACACAGCUAGGAGGCCAGAGAGCCGGCAGUGGCCCACACUUUUAGACACUGCACUCUGCUACCUGCGGAUUUUUUGUUUGUACCAUUUUCCAGUUAUUAAUUUUUAAACAGUUUUAUUGAGGUAUAAUUUAAUGGUGUAAUUUAACUUAAGAUUUACCCAUUUUAAGUGUACAAUUAAAUGAUUUCAGUUAAUUUAUAGAAUUGUGCAACCAUUAUAACGAACCAAUUUUGGCACAUUUCCAUCAUCCCAGAAAAGAUCCUUUAUGUCCACUUCCUGUCACUGUUUCAACCUCCAGCCUGAGGCAACCACUAAUCUACUUUCUGUCUCUGUAGAUUUGCCUCUUCUGGAAACUUCAUAAUAAUGAAGUCAGAGAAUGUUGGGUCUUUUGAGUCUGUUUUUGAGGUUGUUCGUUGGGGUAGCAUGUGUCAGCACGUCAUUCCUUUUCAUUGCUGACUAAUAGUCUGUCGUGUGGCUAUCCCACAUUUUGUCUAUCCAUUCA